rnacentral:rRNA from 1 species
CAAGUCGAACGCGAAAGUUCCCUUCGGGGAACAAGUAGAGUGGCGCACGGGUGAGUAACACGUAGAUAAUCUACCUUUGGAUUGGGAAUAACACCGAGAAAUCGGUGCUAAUACCGAAUAAUGCAGCGGCACCUAAUGGUGACAGUUGUUAAAGCGGGGGAUCGCAAGACCUCGCGUCUAAAGAGGAGCCUGCGGCGGAUUAGCUAGUUGGUAAGGUAACGGCUUACCAAGGCGAUGAUCCGUAGCCGGCCUGAGAGGGCGGUCGGCCACACUGACACUGACAUACGGGUCAGACUCCUACGGGAGGCAGCAGUCGGGAAUUUUGGGCAAUGGGCGAAAGCCUGACCCAGCAACGCCGCGUGAAGGAUGAAAUCCCUCGGGAUGUAAACUUCGCAAGAACGGGAAGAAUAAGUCGGUGCUAACACCAUCGGCGAUGACGGUACUGUUUGUAAGCUCCGGCUAACUCCGUGCCAGCAGCCGCGGUAAUACGGGGGGAGCAAGCGUUGUUCGGAUUUACUGGGCGUAAAGGGCGCGUAGGCGGCCACCGCAAGUCGACUGUGAAAUCUCCGGGCUUAACUCGGAAAGGUCAGCCGAUACUGCGGGGCUAGAGUGCAGAAGGGGCAACUGGAAUUCUCGGUGUAGCGGUGAAAUGCGUAGAUAUCGAGAGGAACACCUGCGGCGAAGGCGGGUUGCUGGGCUGACACUGACGCUGAUUGUGCGAAAGCUAGGGGAGCGAACGGGAUUAGAUACCCCGGUAGUCCUAGCCUUAAACGAUGAAUGCUUGGUGUCUGGGGUUUUAUAGUCCCCGGGUGCCGUCGCUNACGCUUUAAGCAUUCCGCCUGGGGAGUACGGUCGCAAGACUGAAACUCAAAGGAAUUGACGGGGACCCGCACAA